rnacentral:rRNA from 1 species
CCUACGGGAGGCAGCAGUGAGGAAUAUUGGUCAAUGGCCGGAAGGCUGAACCAGCCAUGCCGCGUGAAGGUCAGUGCCCUAUGGGCGUUAAACUUCUUUUGUGCGGGAGCAAUAAUGGUCACGUGUGGCCAGACGAGAGUACCGUACGAAUAAGCAUCGGCUAACUCCGUGCCAGCAGCCGCGGUAAUACGGGGGAUGCAAGCGUUAUCCGGAUUUAUUGGGUUUUAAGGGUGCGUAGGCUGUGAGGUAAGUCAGCGGUGAAAUGCCCCCGCUCAACGGGGUGAAGUGCCAUUGAUACUGCCUGGCUGGAAUGCGGAUGCCGUGGGAGGAAUGUGUGGUGUAGCGGUGAAAUGCAUAGAUAUCACACAGAACACCGAUUGCGAAGGCAUCUCACGAAUCCGCGAUUGACGCUGAUGCACGAAAGCGUGGGUAUCAAACAGGAUUAGAUACCCUUGUAGUC